GUGGUCGUUUAAAAUAACCAAAUCUCCCAAGUUGACCACAAGUGUCAUCAUGGAUUUAAAACAUCCUGUGCCUGCCAUAACAGAGGAACCCCAACAAGUUCAGAAUAAUACAACAGAAGGUUUCACCACAAUGGAAGAAAUAGUUGAUAAUCAGUCCACCUGCAAUGAUAUAGUUUGGAUUCAUUGGAAAGAUCGAAUACCUCUAUAUAUGACUCUGGGAGAAACAAGGAUAAUGUUACGCAAGUGAAAAUUUCAGGAGAAACUUGUUAGCUAAACAGGUGGUUGAUACUUGAUUGUACUUAUCAUCGUUUGAGCUUUCUGUUUUAUGGCACCGUCAACUGAUCGGAACUCUAUUUUUUCAAUUUUGCUUUGCAAUGAAGAACUAAUUUGCUUUACAUUUCAUCGCAUUUUCGUGUUUGAUAUUGUGAAUAAAGUCAUGUUUAGCCAUUCCUUUAAGAUAAAUUUCAUGUAUUGUUUUAUUUGGACUCGAACUCGAGCUUACAUGUCUCAUAAAUCCUCUUCUUAUCACAUUGUUAGCAAAAUUCAUGUACUCUAAAGA